rnacentral:lncRNA from 1 species
UAAUUUCUUCCGUACUGAACUGUAGUUGCUACGCUCGAAAAUCACGAGCUUUAAACCUGGACAGAGGCAGUACAUACGUGGCAAUUUUCCAUCUUAAGCAUGACGAAUCAAGAGGGUUCAUCUACACAACACAAAUCAAACUGAUUCCAAAUAGUUCAGGUACAGACCAAGACAUAUACAGAUGACAGCACUUUCUGUAUACCAUCGGAUCGGAUGGCUAAAGAAGAAACAGUAAUUACAAGUGAACAAUCCUCCUCGCCCCCAUAAGCAUGCCUUGAAGGCCAACACUUGAAAGAUCAAGUGCAACGACCAUGUCCAUUGGUCUUCUGGCCGCAAGCUGAAUCUUGUGACCAACUACACAACUUCCCCAGCUAAAGCAACCUGCCAACCAAAUUCAACAAAGUCCCAUGCUGCACACGUCCUUCUUAUGUGCAGGGCGUCCAUGAGAUAAUAAUGCCGGAUAUUGCUUGUGCUUGGAGGAAGCUCCUGAUGUGCUCGGGCCCUACUCUGGAUCUCUGACGGUCUCAUACUUUUGUGAUACCAUGAGCAACGACGAGAACUGCAGACAAUAGUGACUAGUUAUAUUUUUGCCACCUGACUCCAAUUUUGUUUGUAAAUCUGACAAAAUUCCAGUUCUAAAGCCAUUCGGCACAUACGUAGAUCCAGUAUGGCCUUUCACGUGCGGAAUCGGAAUAUAGAUAUAGCAAUCUUAACCAGAAUGUAAGCAAACUAACCUCGGUGCCGCAAAUUAUGUUGUGACUGAGUGGAUGGGCUGCACAGGAAAGCGCCCUUUCGGAUAAGGGAAUAAACUUGUUUUCUGCAGGUUGAUUUUCCUCGGAG